UGUGUAGUCAGUGGCUUGAUGUUUAAA
rnacentral:sRNA from 1 species